UACGGAAGGCAGCAGUGGGGAAUAUUGCACAAUGGGCGAAAGCCUGAUGCAGCUAUGCCGCGUGUAUGAAGAAGGCCUUAGGGUUGUAAAGUACUUUCAUCGGGGAGGAAAAAACAAAACUAAUAAUUUUAUUUCUUGACGUUACCCGAAAAAGAAGCACCGGCUAACUCCGUGCCAGCAGCCGCGGUAAUACGGAGGGUGCUAGCGUUAAUCAGAAUUACUGGGCGUAAAGAGCACGUAGGUGGUUUUUUAAGUCAGAUGUGAAAUCCCUGGGCUUAACCUGGAACUGCAUUUUGAAACUGAAAUACUAGAAUAUCGUAGAGGGAGGUAGAAUUCUAGGUGUAGCGGUGAAAUGCGUAGAUAUCUGGAGGAAUACCUGUGGCGAAAGCGGCCUCCUAAACGAAUACUGACACUGAGGUGCGAAAGCGUGGGGAGCAAACAGGGAUUAGAUACCCGU
rnacentral:rRNA from 1 species